rnacentral:rRNA from 1 species
UACGAAGGGGGCUAGCGUUGUUCGGAUUUACUGGGCGUAAAGCGCACGUAGGCGGAUCGAUCAGUCAGGGGUGAAAUCCCAGAGCUCAACUCUGGAACUGCCUUUGAUACUGUCGAUCUGGAGUAUGGAAGAGGUGAGUGGAAUUCCCAGUGUAGAGGUGAAAUUCGUAGAUAUUGGGAAGAACACCGGUGGCGAAGGCGGCUCACUGGCUCAUAUCUGACGCUCAGGCGCGACAGCGUGGGGAGCAAACAGG